rnacentral:rRNA from 1 species
CAUGCAAGUCGAACGAAGUAGCAAUACUUAGUGGCAGACGGGUGAGUAACAUGUAGGUAUCUGCCCUUUGGCCUGGAAUAACACGAGGAAACUUGUGCUAAUACCGGAUAAGUCUUUACGGAGAAAGCUUUAUGCACCAUUGGAUGAGCCUGCACUUGAUUAGUUUGUUGGUAGGGUAACGGCCUACCAAGACUGUGAUCAAUAGCUGAUUUGAGAGGAUGAUCAGCCACAUUGGGACUGAGACACGGCCCAAACUCCUACGGGAGGCAGCAGUGGGGAAUCUUGCACAAUGGAGGAAACUCUGAUGCAGCGAUGCCGCGUGAGUGAAGAAGGCCCUUGGGUUGUAAAGCUCUUUCGUCGGGGAAGAAAAUGACUGUACCCGAAUAAGAAGGUCCGGCUAACUUCGUGCCAGCAGCCGCGGUAAUACGAAGGGACCUAGCGUAGUUCGGAAUUACUGGGCUUAAAGAGUUCGUAGGUGGUUGAAAAAGUUAGUGGUGAAAUCCCAGAGCUUAACUCUGGAACUGCCAUUAAAACUUUUCAGCUAGAGUAUGAUAGAGGAAAGCAGAAUUUCUAGUGUAGAGGUGAAAUUCGUAGAUAUUAGAAAGAAUACCAAUUGCGAAGGCAGCUUUCUGGAUCAUUACUGACGCUGAGGAACGAAAGCAUGGGUAGCGAAGAGGAUUAGAUACCCUCGUAGUCCAUGCCGUAAACGAUGUGUGUUAGACGUUGGAAAUUUAUUUUCAGUGUCGCAGGGAAACCGAUAAACACACCGCCUGGGGAGUACGACCGCAAGGUUAAAACUCAAAUGAAUUGACGGGGACCCGCACAAGUAGUGAGCAUGUGGUUUAAUUCGAAGAUACGCGCAGAACCUUACCAACACUUGACAUGUUCGUCGCGACUCUAGAGAUAGAGUUUUCGG